rnacentral:lncRNA from 1 species
UGGAACUCGAGCCUAAUAGUUGUCAAGCAAAACACACGCACAAAAAAGAAAAAGGUUGAACACACACCAAAAAGAAAAAGGUUGCCCGGAGAGAUCUCGCUCGAUCUCCUGCCUACGUAUCUCAUCUGGUAUGAGAAUUAGGGCGACGUAGUUCCCCUUAACAGGGGAAAGGAGACAACAAACUAAUAGGGAGUCUGGAACUCGCACCUAAUAGUUGCAAACAAACAAAAGGAGAAAGAG